rnacentral:rRNA from 1 species
AUACGAACCGUACGAACGUUAUUCGGAUUCACUGGGCUUAAAGCGUGCGUAGGCGGCUGGGAAAGUUGGGUGUGAAAGCCCUCGGCUCAACCGAGGAAUUGCGCUCAAAACUACCUGGCUUGAGGGAGAUAGAGGUGAGCGGAACUGAUGGUGGAGCGGUGAAAUGCGUUGGUAUCAUCAGGAACACCUGUGGCGAAAGCAGCUCACUGGGUCUUUUCUGACGCUGAGGCACGAAAGCUAGGGGAGCGAACGGGAUUAGAUACCCCGGUAGUCCUAGCUGUAAACGAUGAGCACUGGGUUGAGGGGACUUCCACAUCCUCUCGGCCGUAGCGAAAGUGUUAAGUGCUCCGCCUGGGGAGUAUGGUCGCAAGGCUGAA